AUACUUACCUGUCAGGGGAGAUACCAUGAUCAUGAAAGUGGUUUUCUCAGAGUAAGGCUUAUCUUUUGCACUCCUGAUGUGCUGACCCCUGUGAUUUCUCCAAGUGUAGGAAACAAGAUUGCAUAAUUUAUGGUAGUAGGGGACUGUGUUUGUGCUCACCGCUG